rnacentral:tRNA from 1 species
GCGGGAUUCGUAUAGUGGUAAUACGCUACCUUCCCAAGGUAGAACCGCCAGUUCGAUUCUGGUAUCCCGCU